rnacentral:rRNA from 1 species
GAUGAACGCUGGCGGCGUGCCUAAUACAUGCAAGUCGAGCGAACGGACGAGAAGCUUGCUUCUCUGAUGUUAGCGGCGGACGGGUGAGUAACACGUGGAUAACCUACCUAUAAGACUGGGAUAACUUCGAGAAACCGUAGCUAAUACCGGAUAAUAUUUUGAACCGCAUGGUUCAAAAGUGAAAGAAGGUCUUGCUGUCACUUAUAGAUGGAUCUGCGCUGCAUUAGCUAGUUGGUAAGGUAACGGCUUACCAAGGCAACGAUGCAUAGCCGACCUGGGGGGGUGAUCGGCCACACCGGAACUGGGACACGGUCCCGACUCCUACGGGAGGCAGCAGUAGGGAUUCUUCCGCAAUGGGCGAAAGCCUGACGGAGCAACGCCGCGUGAGUGAUGAAGGUCUUCGGAUCGGAAAACUCUGUUAUUAGGGAAGAACAGAUGUGUAAGUAACUGUGCACAUCUUGACGGUACCUAAUCAGAAAGCCACGGCUAACUACGUG